rnacentral:lncRNA from 1 species
AUGCAUCAAACAAUAGUAGAGGUUCCUAGGGAUUUCCUCUUUCUCCUGUUGCAGGAAAGGGCACAGCCCCAACCAAAUGUUCCCGUGACUACGAACCAUGAGCACAAUAUUGAGGAUCGGCUAAUGGAGAUGCGAAAGACAAUUCAGGGCCUGAAAGCUUCCGCAGAGACUCUUGAGGAUCUGCAGGACACCUUUGACUUCCGUUUUAAGACAUACAAGAUUUUAGGUGAGGAAAUUUGGGGUGGUGGGGAAGUGGAAGAACCACCCUUGGCUGGAAGAAUGAACAAGAUGGAAAGAGGGCAUUUCUCUUCAUAUAUCCUUAAAACAGGUGGGGAGGAGAAAGAUUGGGAUCUGCUAGUGCAGUAGAUAAGCAAGGUUUUCUAAUAACAGCAAUAUAUGUUUCCUCUCCCUGCUACCAAAUUAUACUGCUGGAAGAAAGAAAGGUGGGAUAACCAGGUGUAUAUUGCUCUUUGGAGGGGCUGUGAGCUCAUUCCAUUUCUAGUACUUGAAACAGAUUUAGGGCUCAAGAUUCUUUUUUUCUUUUUAAUUCUAAGUCUUUGCAGCUGCCUGUAGUUCAAGGGUUGGCAAUUGAUGGCCCUCCUGAUGUCUUUUUGACUUAGAACUCUCAUUAGCCCUAGCCAGUAUAGCCAGGGGUGAUGGGAGCUUUGGGCCAAGGCAUUUGGAGGGCCACCCCAGUUGCCAUCCUGGACUAAUUGAGGAAUGUAGGUUUUAAUUGGUGUGUAAAAACCACAACAACCAAGAAGAACCAACUGGAUUCUACAAGACUGAAGAAUCCACCUAGCCUUCAAACAACAAAACAACUUUCCCUCCUUUUUCUUGAUAGCUCUUGCCUACCAGUCCUUCUGAUUUCUUUGUUGACUACCAAACAACAUCUGGGGGAGGGGACGCCUUGCGAGGUUCCUGUUUCCCCAAGUUCAAUCUGUGAGUGCCCCAAACUGCAUCCGGGCAUCCUCCACUGUCCUGGCCCUGAACUCAGGGAGGGCAGCUCCCUAGAUAGGAGAGUCUCCUGUGUCCAAGGAGGUACUGCACACAACACAGAACCCAGAUU